CGGCGGACGGGUGAGUAAUGCCUAGGAAUCUGCCUGGUAGUGGGGGACAACGUUUCGAAAGGAACGCUAAUACCGCAUACGUCCUACGGAGAAAGCAGGGGACCUUCGGGCCUUGCGCUAUCAGAUGAGCCUAGGUCGGAUUAGCUAGUUGGUGAGGUAAUGGCUCACCAAGGCGACGAUCCGUAACUGGUCUGAGAGGAUGAUCAGUCACACUGGAACUGAGACACGGUCCAGACUCCUACGGGAGGCAGCAGUG
rnacentral:rRNA from 1 species